UGACUUAUGGUGUCAGCAGUAUUAACUUGA
rnacentral:piRNA from 1 species